UACGUAGGCAGCAAGCGUUGUUCGGAAUUACUGGGCGUAAAGAGUGUGUAGGCGGUGCUCUAAGUCUGUUGUGAAAUCUCCCGGCUUAACCGGGAGGGUGCGGCGGAAACUGGAGUGCUUGAGGGUGGGAGAGGUAAGCGGAAUUCCUGGUGUAGCGGUGAAAUGCGUAGAUAUCGGGAGGAACACCAGUGGCGAAGGCGGCGAUCUGGGAAGAUACUGACGCUGAGGUGCGAAAGCGUGGGGAGCAAACAGG
rnacentral:rRNA from 1 species